rnacentral:rRNA from 1 species
UACGUAGGGUGCGAGCGUUGUCCGGAAUUAUUGGGCGUAAAGGGCGCGUAGGCGGUGCCACAAGUCACCUGUGAAAUCUCCGGGCUUAACUCGGACCUGCAGGCGAAACUGUGGUGCUGGAGUGUGGGAGAGGUGCGUGGAAUUCCCGGUGUAGCGGUGAAAUGCGUAGAUAUCCGGAGGAACACCAGUGGCGAAGGCGGCCUUCUGGGAUGAUCCUGACGCUGAGGAG